UUUAAUUUUUGACUCUUCAUCUUAUUUAAAUUUUUUUUGCGAUUGAUAUUUUUGUUUUUAUUAGAUAAUAAAUCACGAAUAGUACUUUACGUGUAACUAAUUUUUCUCUAAUUUUCUAAAAAAAUUUAAAUAAGACAGAUGGUCAAAAGUUGGACACGGAAACC
rnacentral:pre_miRNA from 1 species